rnacentral:rRNA from 1 species
UUACACAUGCAAGUCGAGGGGUAUAGUUCUUCGGGAUUAGAGACCGGCGCACGGGUGCGUAACGCGUAUGCAAUCUGCCUUUCACAGAGGGAUAGCCCAGAGAAAUUUGGAUUAAUACCUCAUAGUAUUACGACUCGGCAUCGAGAUGUAAUUAAAGUCACAACGGUGAAAGAUGAGCAUGCGUCCCAUUAGCUAGUUGGUAAGGUAACGGCUUACCAAGGCAACGAUGGGUAGGGGUCCUGAGAGGGAGAUCCCCCACACUGGUACUGAGACACGGACCAGACUCCUACGGGAGGCAGCAGUGAGGAAUAUUGGACAAUGGGCGCAAGCCUGAUCCAGCCAUGCCGCGUGCAGGAUGACGGUCCUAUGGAUUGUAAACUGCUUUUGUACGAGAAGAAACACUCCUAUGUAUAGGAGCUUGACGGUAUCGUAAGAAUAAGGAUCGGCUAACUCCGUGCCAGCAGCCGCGGUAAUACGGAGGAUCCAAGCGUUAUCCGGAAUCAUUGGGUUUAAAGGGUCCGUAGGCGGUUUAGUAAGUCAGUGGUGAAAGCCCAUCGCUCAACGGUGGAACGGCCAUUGAUACUGCUGAACUUGAAUUAUUAGGAAGUAACUAGAAUAUGUAGUGUAGCGGUGAAAUGCUUAGAUAUUACAUGGAAUACCAAUUGCGAAGGCAGGUUACUACUAAUGGAUUGACGCUGAUGGACGAAAGCGUGGGGAGCGAACAGGAUUAGAUACCCUGGUAGUCCACGCCGUAAACGAUGGAUACUAGCUGUUGGAAGCAAUUUCAGUGGCUAAGCGAAAGUGAUAAGUAUCCCACCUGGGGAGUACGUUCGCAAGAAUGAAACUCAAAGGAAUUGACGGGGGCCCGCACAAGCGGUGGAGCAUGUGGUUUAAUUCGAUGAUACGCGAGGAACCUUACCAAGGCUUAAAUGUAGAUUGACCGGUUUGGAAACAGAUCUUUCGCAAGACAAUUUACAGGUGCUGCAUGGUUGUCGUCAGCUCGUGCCGUGAGGUGUCAGGUUAAGUCCUAUAACGAGCGCAACCCCUGUUGUUAGUUGCCAGCGAGUCAAGUCGGGAACUCUAACAAGACUGCCAGUGCAACUGUGAGAAAGGUGGGGAUGACGUCAAAUCAUCACGGCCCUUAGCC